CAGUAGGUGGCUUAAUGAUUAAGGUGCUGGACUCCCAUAUGACUGGCCCGGGUUCAAAUCCUGGCUUACUUU
rnacentral:tRNA from 1 species